AGCCUUCUGUAUCCGUGCUGAGACUUUGUCACACACCAGACCAUAGGGGCUGAUGAUACUUCCAAGGUAAGUGAAGCG
rnacentral:pre_miRNA from 1 species